UGGAAAGUCCUCUACUCAGAGGCAAACAGUGCGCCUAUGGCGUAUCACCAUUGUGUUUUGUUUCGUUUGUUUCGGCGGGUCGAACAUUUGGCUGGGCGAGGAGUGGGUUUCUACUCCUUGUCCAACUAAAUCGCCAGCCCGCCAAACGCUUCUAUCACACCUUUGAUACCUUUUCUGAUCUCUUAUUUGACGGCUUCGGCCGUCUUCAAAUCAAUA
rnacentral:misc_RNA from 1 species